UACGGAGGGGGCAAGCGUUGUUCGGAAUUACUGGGCGUAAAGGGCGCGUAGGCGGCCUUCUAAGUCGAACGUGAAAUCCCUGGGCUUAACCCAGGAACUGCGUCCGAUACUGGAAGGCUUGAAUCCGGGAGAGGGAUGCGGAAUUCCAGGUGUAGCGGUGAAAUGCGUAGAUAUCUGGAGGAACACCGGUGGCGAAGGCGGCAUCCUGGACCGGCAUUGACGCUGAGGCGCGAAAGCCAGGGGAGCAAACGGG
rnacentral:rRNA from 1 species